CCCGAUGAACCUGAAUAUCCGUUAUGGAAAAUUCAUCAUUAGAAUUGUAAUAUUUAAACAAUAUUAUAAUAAUAGUGUGCAUUUUUUCCAUAUAAGGACAUUGUAAUCUAUUAGCAUAUUAAUUUAUCAUAAAAUUAUGGCAUAUAGUUUAUUUCAAUUAAAAUGCUUGCGUUUUAACAUGAAAUAAAAGCUGUAAAUUUGAUAAAGUGCUGAUAGAUUUAUAUCAAUACAGUGCGUUAAUUUUUCGGAAUUAUAUAAUGGCAUGAUUAUCAUUGAUUUUUGUGUUUAUUAUAUGCACUUGUAUGAUUAACAAUGCGUAAGAUUCAGGAUACCUUCGGG
rnacentral:rRNA from 1 species